ensembl:lncRNA
CUUCAUACUGACACAUUAAAAAGUGAAAUAACUAAAACCAGCAGAUGACUGCCCUCCAUGGAAUGAGUUUGGACACCUUCUGAUCUAGUGCCUUUCGACAGAAGCACAGAUCCAGGAACAGUCUCCAUUUCCUCAACCUUAACUAGUGUAGUAUAAGUUAACUACUAGGGGGGGGGAUCUGCAUGAAAACUGACCUGAGAUCAGUGUCGUGUUUUAUAAGAUGACCACUUCCUCUCUUUUACAGGUGACAUUCCUUUCCUCCUUAAACAUGUGUCGCGUUGUAUUCCUCCCCCCACUGAUUCAGUAGCAGGAAGGAGUUUUGAGGUGUCGCGUUGUAUUCCCUCCCCCACUGAUUCAGUAGCAGGAAGGAGUUGAGGUGUCGCGUUGUAUUCCUUCCCCCACUGAUUCAGUAGCAGGAAGGAGUUUUGAGGUGUCGUGUUUUAUUCCCCCCCACCCCCACUGAUUCAGUAGCAGGAAGGAGUUUUGAGGUGUCGCGUUGUAUUCCCUCCCCCCCCACUGAUUCAGUAGCAGGAAGGAGUUUUGAGGUGUUACGAUAUCAUAGAGCCUUUUAGCGUCACAGAAUACCAGUCUACUGAUAGCAUUAAUACAACGUUUGUUAGUUUGUACAUAUACCAGUAAUAGGAUCCAUGUUUCUCUAUCAUGUCUUUUACAUUUCUAGGAGAAGUUGUUGUUUUAACUCUAUUUUUUUGAGAUGAUCUGUCUGUCUGUGGAAGAUUUAUUGUUAAUAAUUGUAAAGGAUCAAAAAUAAAUGGGAG